AUUAACGCCAGAGGCUCUCUCUGCUGCGUUCACAGAGGACGGAGCGAAAAGGAAGUGUCGGGAAUUGCCAGGACUUGAGAGAAGAUGGCACUGCCGAGUUCAUCAAAGAAGAAGAUCAUUCUCUCUCUCUCUCUCUCCCCGCAUCUGUAUCCGACGAAUCGGACCUUUCCUCAAUCGUCGUCGUCUUCUUCAGCUAGGGCUCUGCUUUUUAAAUUCGUUCCGUGUAAAUUUCUCAGUCCGCUACUUCAGAUCAUGGACCAAUAGAGGUCCUCCACUGACAUCA